UACAGCUCCCAAGUGGAUCAAGAUGUUUGUUUUAGAUGAGGCAGAUGAAAUGUUGAGACGUGGGUCCAAGGAUCUGAUCUAUGAAAUGUACCAGAAGUUGCGCGCAAGCAUUCAGGAAUGAAGCUGGACACACUCUGACUUGUAUGAAACAUUAACACGUACACAGGCUGUCAUUUUCCUUAAUACUAGAAGAAAAGCUGACUGGCUUACGGAGUGCAUGCAAGAGACUUUACUGUCUCUGCUCUGCAUGGUGACCUGGACCAGAAAGAUGUUGUUUUUGUUCUGGAUCUAGUCGUGUAUUAAUCACCACAGACUUGUUGAUGUGUGAACAUAUAAUUCAAAGUCUGCACUAAGUUAUGACUUCCUGAAAUAGGUGAGCCAUAAAUGUGUGUAAAGCUCUGUUUGGUUGAAAAGACACUGCAGCAAUGACCUUCUUUCUGUGUCAACUGGUUGACCUGAAGCUCCUUUUCCAAAGACUUAAAACUUUCAUGAUGGUUCCUCCUACCAGUCAGGGAAAAAAGUCCUUUGGUAUAUAAAGACCCACAUUCCACAGUGGAUUACAAUGUUGUACUCCACCACUAUAUUGUGGCUGACAAAUCUGCUUUCCUCUCCAUAAGUGAGCAUGAAAAAUUGGUUGGUGUGUUAUCUUUAAAUUGGUUAUAUCUCUAAUAAUUGCAUUUACCAAGGCUACACUUAUUUUAAAUGGAAGCUAUUUUCUCCAUUCUCAGGCUCGUGGCAGCAAGUUAUGACCUACCGACCAAUCGUAAAAACUAUAUUCACAGAAUUGGCCGUGGAGGUUGAUUUUGGAAGGAAAGGUAUGGCAAUUUGUUACAGAAGAGGACAAGCAGAUUCUCCGUGAUAUUGAGACUUUGUACAAUUCUACGGUGCAGGCGAUGCCAAUGAAUGUGGUUGACAUUUGAUGGGAGGAGAUUGCUGAAUAGGCGAAUCACAACAUGCGUUGUGCUUUCUUUGGAUACUGAAACGGUUUCUUUUUUUUUUUUUUUAUAAAGCGAAGCCGCAUGCUCUGGAAGGAAGACUGUUUAUUUUUAUUCUCUCCAGAAUUUAGAAUGUUGGCGUGGCUUGUAAAGCAAUGGGGUCUUUGCAUUUUCUUUUAAUUAGACAUUUCUUAGUUCAAUAGAAGUGGUGGUCUUAUCAUUUAAUAACUUGCUUAUGGACUAAGAUAAGUGCUGUAUAAAGUCAGCCAAUUAUGUUCAACUUUAUCAUAUAGAACUUUAUUGUACAUUUCAGCUUUAGAACUAUACUAUAUUUUUAUGUAGUAAAGUGUUGAGAUCCUGGAAGCCCAACAAUCUGUCUUGUGUUGAUUGUAAAGUUGUUAUUGCACAUGUCGAGUUAAUAAACUGGUUAUUUGCACUGGA